UGGGGAAUAUUGCACAAUGGGCGCAAGCCUGAUGCAGCCAUGCCGCGUGUGUGAAGAAGGCCUUCGGGUUGUAAAGCACUUUCAGCGAGGAGGAAGGGUUCAGUGUUAAUAGCACUGUUCAUUGACGUUACUCGCAGAAGAAGCACCGGCUAACUCCGUGCCAGCAGCCGCGGUAAUACGGAGGGUGCAAGCGUUAAUCGGAAUUACUGGGCGUAAAGCGCACGCAGGCGGUUUGUUAAGUCAGAUGUGAAAUCCCCGCGCUUAACGUGGGAACUGCAUUUGAAACUGGCAAGCUAGAGUCUUGUAGAG
rnacentral:rRNA from 1 species